rnacentral:rRNA from 1 species
GCUAAUCUGCGAUAAGCGCCGGUAAGGUGAUAUGAACCGUUAUAACCGGCGAUACCCGAAUGGGGAAACCCAGUGUGACUCGUCACACUAUCAUUAACUGAAUCCAUAGGUUAAUGAGGCGAACCGGGGGAACUGAAACAUCUAAGUACCCCGAGGAAAAGAAAUCAACCGAGAUUCCCCCAGUAGCGGCGAGCGAACGGGGAGGAGCCCAGAGCCUGAAUCAGCAUGUGUGUUAGUGGAAGCGUCUGGAAAGGCGCGCGAUACAGGGUGACAGCCCCGUACACAAAAGCGCAUGUGCUGUGAGCUCGAUGAGUAGGGCGGGACACGUGGUAUCCUGUCUGAAUAUGGGGGGACCAUCCUCCAAGGCUAAAUACUCCUGACUGACCGAUAGUGAACCAGUACCGUGAGGGAAAGGCGAAAAGAACCCCGGCGAGGGGAGUGAAAAAGAACCUGAAACCGUGUACGUACAAGCAGUGGGAGCACCCUUUGGGGUGUGACUGCGUACCUUUUGUAUAAUGGGUCAGCGACUUAUAUUCUGUAGCAAGGUUAACCGUAUAGGGGAGCCGGAGGGAAACCGAGUCUUAAUUGGGCGUUAAGUUGCAGGGUAUAGACCCGAAACCCGGUGAUCUAGCCAUGGGCAGGUUGAAGGUUGGGUAACACUAACUGGAGGACCGAACCGACUAAUGUUGAAAAAUUAGCGGAUGACCUGUGGCUGGGGGUGAAAGGCCAAUCAAACCGGGAGAUAGCUGGUUCUCCCCGAAAGCUAUUUAGGUAGCGCCUCGUGAAUUCAUCUCCGGGGGUAGAGCACUGUUUCGGCUAGGGGGCCAUCCCGGCUUACCAACCCGAUGCAAACUGCGAAUACCGGAGAAUGUUAUCACGGGAGACACACGGCGGGUGCUAACGUCCGUCGUGAAGAGGGAAACAACCCAGACCGCCAGCUAAGGUCCCAAAGUCAUGGUUAAGUGGGAAACGAUGUGGGAAGGCCCAGACAGCCAGGAUGUUGGCUUAGAAGCAGCCAUCAUUUAAAGAAAGCGUAAUAGCUCACUGGUCGAGUCGGCCUGCGCGGAAGAUGUAACGGGGCUAAACCAUGCACCGAAGCUGCGGCAGCGACGCUUAUGCGUUGUUGGGUAGGGGAGCGUUCUGUAAGCCUGUGAAGGUGGCCUGUGAGGGUUGCUGGAGGUAUCAGAAGUGCGAAUGCUGACAUAAGUAACGAUAAAGCGGGUGAAAAGCCCGCUCGCCGGAAGACCAAGGGUUCCUGUCCAACGUUAAUCGGGGCAGGGUGAGUCGACCCCUAAGGCGAGGCCGAAAGGCGUAGUCGAUGGGAAACGGGUUAAUAUUCCCGUACUUGGUGUUACUGCGAAGGGGGGACGGAGAAGGCUAUGUUGGCCGGGCGACGGUUGUCCCGGUUUAAGCGUGUAGGCUGGUUUUCCAGGCAAAUCCGGAAAAUCAAGGCUGAGGCGUGACGACGAGGCACUACGGUGCUGAAGCAACAAAUGCCCUGCUUCCAGGAAAAGCCUCUAAGCAUCAGGUAACAUCAAAUCGUACCCCAAACCGACACAGGUGGUCAGGUAGAGAAUACCAAGGCGCUUGAGAGAACUCGGGUGAAGGAACUAGGCAAAAUGGUGCCGUAACUUCGGGAGAAGGCACGCUGACACGUAGGUGAAGUGAUUUACUCAUGGAGCUGAAGUCAGUCGAAGAUACCAGCUGGCUGCAACUGUUUAUUAAAAACACAGCACUGUGCAAACACGAAAGUGGACGUAUACGGUGUGACGCCUGCCCGGUGCCGGAAGGUUAAUUGAUGGGGUCAGCGCAAGCGAAGCUCCUGAUCGAAGCCCCGGUAAACGGCGGCCGUAACUAUAACGGUCCUAAGGUAGCGAAAUUCCUUGUCGGGUAAGUUCCGACCUGCACGAAUGGCGUAAUGAUGGCCAGGCUGUCUCCACCCGAGACUCAGUGAAAUUGAACUCGCUGUGAAGAUGCAGUGUACCCGCGGCAAGACGGAAAGACCCCGUGAACCUUUACUAUAGCUUGACACUGAACAUUGAGCCUUGAUGUGUAGGAUAGGUGGGAGGCUUUGAAGUGUGGACGCCAGUCUGCAUGGAGCCGACCUUGAAAUACCACCCUUUAAUGUUUGAUGUUCUAACGUGGACCCGUUACCCGGGUUGCGGACAGUGUCUGGUGGGUAGUUUGACUGGGGCGGUCUCCUCCUAAAGAGUAACGGAGGAGCACGAAGGUUGGCUAAUCCUGGUCGGACAUCAGGAGGUUAGUGCAAUGGCAUAAGCCAGCUUGACUGCGAGCGUGACGGCGCGAGCAGGUGCGAAAGCAGGUCAUAGUGAUCCGGUGGUUCUGAAUGGAAGGGCCAUCGCUCAACGGAUAAAAGGUACUCCGGGGAUAACAGGCUGAUACCGCCCAAGAGUUCAUAUCGACGGCGGUGUUUGGCACCUCGAUGUCGGCUCAUCACAUCCUGGGGCUGAAGUAGGUCCCAAGGGUAUGGCUGUUCGCCAUUUAAAGUGGUACGCGAGCUGGGUUUAGAACGUCGUGAGACAGUUCGGUCCCUAUCUGCCGUGGGCGCUGGAGAACUGAGGGGGGCUGCUCCUAGUACGAGAGGACCGGAGUGGACGCAUCACUGGUGUUCGGGUUGUCAUGCCAAUGGCACUGCCCGGUAGCUAAAUGCGGAAGAGAUAAGUGCUGAAAGCAUCUAAGCACGAAACUUGCCCCGAGAUGAGUUCUCCCUGAGACUUUAGGUCUCCUGAAGGAACGUUGAAGACGACGACGUUGAUAGGCCGGGUGUGUAAGCGCAGCGAUGCGUUGAGCUAACCGGUACUAAUGAACCGUGAGGCUUAACCUUACAACGCCGAAG